AUGCCAAAUGCAAAGCAGUUCAAAGGAGUAUAAAUGCUGGCUUUUUUGGUGGCCCUGCCUUUCAGAAAAUACUAGGAAUGGUCACCAGAGCCUGUUUUAUCCUCCUAAGGGAAGAAGUUGCCAUCUAAAAGGGUUCACACCCUGCAGACAUCACAUGGCUCUACCACCCCUCCAGCCACAUCUUUUAA